CAGCAGCCGCGGUAAUACGGAGGGAGCUAGCGUUGUUCGGAAUUACUGGGCAUAAAGCGCACGUAGGCGGCUUUGUAAGUCAGAGGUGAAAGCCUGGAGCUCAACUCCAGAACUGCCUUUGAGACUGCAUCGCUUGAAUCCAGGAGAGGUGAGUGGAAUUCCGAGUGUAGAGGUGAAAUUCGUAGAUAUUCGGAAGAACACCAGUGGCGAAGGCGGCUCACUGGACUGGUAUUGACGCUGAGGUGCGAAAGCGUGGGGAGCAAACAGGAUUAGAUACCCCGGUAGUCCCUGUCUCUUAUAC
rnacentral:rRNA from 1 species